rnacentral:rRNA from 1 species
GAUGAACGCUGGCGGCGUGCCUAAUACAUGCAAGUCGAGCGAACGGACGAGAAGCUCGCUUCUCUGAUGUUAGCGGCGGACGGGUGAGUAACACGUGGGUAACCUACCUAUAAGACUGGGAUAACUUCGGGAAACCGUAGCUAAUACCGGAUAAUAUUUUGAACCGCAUGGUUCAAAAGUGAAAGACGGUCUUGCUGUCAAUCAUAGAUGGAUCCGCGCUGCAUUAGCUAGUUGGUAAGGUAACGGCUUACCAAGGCAACGAUGCAUAGCCGACCUGAGAGGGUGAUCGGCCACACUGGAACUGAGACACGGUCCAGACUCCUACGGGAGGCAGCAGUAGGGAAUCUUCCGCAAUGGGCGAAAGCCUGACGGAGCAACGCCGCGUGGGUGAUGAAGGUCUUCGGAUCGUAAACCUCUGUUAUUAGGGAAGAACAUAUGUGUAAGUAACUGUGCACAUAUUGACGGUACCUAAUCAGAAAGCCACGGCUAACUACGUG